rnacentral:rRNA from 1 species
UCAGGACGAACGCUGGCGGCGUGCCUAAUACAUGCAAGUCGAACGAACUCUGGUAUUGAUUGGUGCUUGCAUCAUGAUUUACAUUUGAGUGAGUGGCGAACUGGUGAGUAACACGUGGGAAACCUGCCCAGAAGCGGGGGAUAACACCUGGAAACAGAUGCUAAUACCGCAUAACAACUUGGACCGCAUGGUCCGAGCUUGAAAGAUGGCUUCGGCUAUCACUUUUGGAUGGUCCCGCGGCGUAUUAGCUAGAUGGUGGGGUAACGGCUCACCAUGGCAAUGAUACGUAGCCGACCUGAGAGGGUAAUCGGCCACAUUGGGACUGAGACACGGCCCAAACUCCUACGGGAGGCAGCAGUAGGGAAUCUUCCACAAUGGACGAAAGUCUGAUGGAGCAACGCCGCGUGAGUGAAGAAGGGUUUCGGCUCGUAAAACUCUGUUGUUAAAGAAGAACAUAUCUGAGAGUAACUGUUCAGGUAUUGACGGUAUUUAACCAGAAAGCCACGGCUAACUACGUGCCAGCAGCCGCGGUAAUACGUAGGUGGCAAGCGUUGUCCGGAUUUAUUGGGCGUAAAGCGAGCGCAGGCGGUUUUUUAAGUCUGAUGUGAAAGCCUUCGGCUCAACCGAAGAAGUGCAUCGGAAACUGGGAAACUUGAGUGCAGAAGAGGACAGUGGAACUCCAUGUGUAGCGGUGAAAUGCGUAGAUAUAUGGAAGAACACCAGUGGCGAAGGCGGCUGUCUGGUCUGUAACUGACGCUGAGGCUCGAAAGUAUGGGUAGCAAACAGGAUUAGAUACCCUGGUAGUCCAUACCGUAAACGAUGAAUGCUAAGUGUUGGAGGGUUUCCGCCCUUCAGUGCUGCAGCUAACGCAUUAAGCAUUCCGCCUGGGGAGUACGGCCGCAAGGCUGAAACUCAAAGGAAUUGACGGGGGCCCGCACAAGCGGUGGAGCAUGUGGUUUAAUUCGAAGCUACGCGAAGAACCUUACCAGGUCUUGACAUACUAUGCAAAUCUAAGAGAUUAGACGUUCCCUUCGGGGACAUGGAUACAGGUGGUGCAUGGUUGUCGUCAGCUCGUGUCGUGAGAUGUUGGGGUUAAGUCCCGCAACGAGCGCAACCCUUAUUAUCAGUUGCCAGCAUUAAGUUGGGCACUCUGGUGAGACUGCCGGUGACAACCGGAGGAAGGUGGGGGAAGGACGUCAAAUCAUCAUGCCCCUUAUGACCUGGGCUACACACGUGCUACAAUGGAUGGUACAACGAGUUGCGAACUCGCGAGAGUAAGCUAAUCUCUUAAAGCCAUUCUCAG